GAUGAACGCUCGCUGUGUGCCUAAUACAUGCAUGUUGAACGGGAUGUAGCAAUACAUUCAGUAGCGAAUGGGUGAGUAACACGUACCUAACCUACCUUUAAGACUGGGAUAACUAUUGGAAACAAUAGCUAAUACCGGAUAUAGUUAUUUAUCGCAUGAUGAGUAAUAGAAAGGAGCUUCACAGCUUCACUUAAAAAUGGGGGUGCGGAACAUUAGUUAGUUGGUAGGGUAAUGGCCUACCAAGACGAUGAUGUUUAGCCGGGCCGAGAGGCUGUACGGCCACACUGGGACUGAGAUACGGCCCAGACUCCUACGGGAGGCAGCAGUAAGGAAUUUUCCACAAUGAGCGAAAGCUUGAUGGAGCGACACAGCGUGCAGGAUGAAGUUCUUCGGAAUGUAAACUGCUGUUAUAAGGGAAGAAAAAAUAGAAUAGGAAAUGAUUUUAUCUUGACGGUACCUUAUUAGAAAGCGACGGCAAACUAUGUGCCAGCAGCUGCGGUAAUACAUAGGUCGCAAGCGUUAUCCGGAAUUAUUGGGCGUAAAGCGUCCGUAGGUUUUUUGCUAAGUCUGGAGUUAAAUGCUGAAGCUCAACUUCAGUCCGCUUUGGAUACUGGCAAAAUAGAAUUAUAAAGAGGUUAGCGGAAUUCCUAGUGAAGCGGUGGAAUGCGUAGAUAUUAGGAAGAACACCAAUAGGCGAAGGCAGCUAACUGGUUAUAUAGUGACACUAAAGGGACGAAAGCGUGGGGAGCAAACAGG
rnacentral:rRNA from 1 species